CAUAAAUGUAUUUUUCUUUUUUUUUAUUUUUUCUUUUUUUUGGUUGUUUGCCUCCUU
rnacentral:ribozyme from 14 species